rnacentral:rRNA from 1 species
GCAAGUGGUAGGAAUUCCCGAAAGGUGACCGGACCCUUCGGGUAGCUUGCGACAGGUGCUGCAUGGCUGUCGUCAGCUCGUGUCGUGAGAUGUUCGGUUAAGUCCGCUAACGAGCGCAACCCUCGUCGUGUGUUAUACGUGUCACACGAUACUGCCGGUAUCAAGCCGGAGGAAGGUGGGAUGAUGUCAAGUCAGCAUGGCCUUUAUAUCCUGGGCUACACACACGCUACAAUGGCAGAUACAAUAGGUCGCGAAACCGCGAGGUGGAGCCAAUCCUCAAAGUCUGUCUCAGUUCAGAUUGUAGGCUGCAACUCGCCUGCAUGAAGUCGGAGUUGCUAGUAAACGCAGGUCAGCUAUACUGCGUUGAAUACGUUCCCGGGUUU